AGUGAACGCUGGCGGUAGGCCUAACACAUGCAAGUCGAACGGCAGCACAGUAAGAGCUUGCUCUUACGGGUGGCGAGUGGCGGACGGGUGAGGAAUACAUCGGAAUCUACUUUUUCGUGGGGGAUAACGUAGGGAAACUUACGCUAAUACCGCAUACGACCUACGGGUGAAAGCAGGGGAUCUUCGGACCUUGCGCGAUUGAAUGAGCCGAUGUCGGAUUAGCUAGUUGGCGGGGUAAAGGCCCACCAAGGCGACGAUCCGUAGCUGGUCUGAGGGGAUGAACAGCCACAAUGGAACUGAGGAACCGGCCAAACUCCUGCGGGAGGGAACAGUGGGGAAUAAUGGGCAAUGGGGGCAAGGCUAAUCCAGGCAAACCGGGGUGGGUGAGAAAGCCUUUGGGGUGGAAAGGCCUUUUGGUUGGGAAGAAAAACAGCCAGUUUAAACCCCGGUGUUCUGACCGGACCCAAAAAAUAAGCCACGGCUAACUUCGUG
rnacentral:rRNA from 1 species